UACGAAGGGGGCUAGCGUUGCUCGGAAUCACUGGGCGUAAAGCGCACGUAGGCGGGUUCUUAAGUCAGGGGUGAAAUCCUGGAGCUCAACUCCAGAACUGCCUUUGAUACUGGGAAUCUCGAGUCCGGGAGAGGUGAGUGGAACUGCGAGUGUAGAGGUGAAAUUCGUAGAUAUUACGGAAGAACACCAGUGGCGAAGGCGGCUCACUGGACCGGCAUUGACGCUGAGGUGCGAAAGCGUGGGGAGCAAACAGGAUUAGAAACCCUGGUG
rnacentral:rRNA from 1 species